rnacentral:rRNA from 1 species
GACGAACGCUGGCGGCGUGCUUAACACAUGCAAGUCGAACGGAAAGGCCCUGCUAUUGUGGGGUGCUCGAGUGGCGAACGGGUGAGUAACACGUGAGUAACCUGCCCUUGACUUUGGGAUAACUUCAGGAAACUGGGGCUAAUACCGGAUAGGAGCUCCUGCUGCAUGGUGGGGGUUGGAAAGUUUCGGCGGUUGGGGAUGGACUCGCGGCUUAUCAGCUUGUUGGUGGGGUAGUGGCUUACCAAGGCUUUGACGGGUAGCCGGCCUGAGAGGGUGACCGGCCACAUUGGGACUGAGGUACGGCCCAGACUCCUACGGGAGGCAGAAGUGGGGAAUAUUGCACAAUGGGCGGAAGCCUGAUGCAGCAACGCCGCGUGCGGGAUGACGGCCUUCGGGUUGUAAACCGCUUUCGCCUGUGACGAAGCGUGAGUGACGGUAAUGGGUAAAGAAGCACCGGCUAACUACGU